UCCCUUAAAAUUAAGGAUUAAUUUUAUAUAGAUCCCUGCAAACAUAAUGAAUAACAAAUAUAUUCCUACAAAGUUCAACUUUCAUAUGUUGUCCCUACAAAAGUCCUGACGUUUUCAAAUAUAUUCCUGCCGUUAGAAUUCAUUAGAAAAAUUCAGUUAACUAUGAAUUAAAUACUUAACUCUGAUCAAUUUUUGACAUUUUUAUCUUUCUUAUAUUAUAUUGUUUUGACUUUUGGAGAAAUAUAUUUGUGUUGACAAAAUUUAAAAUAUAAACAGUUCUCUAAUGGUUCUCUAACGAUAACAAACUAGAGGAAUGUAUUUGAAAAUAUCAGGAUCGAUUUUUACAGAAACAAUAUAUGAAAGUUCAUGAUAGGAGUAUAUUUGUCAUUCACUAUAUUUGUAAGGACUUGUAUGAAAUUAAUCCUAAAUUAACGUACCAAACUAAAAUUUAAUACUUUUGUUGUAGUAUCAAUCAGAAAUAAAAUUUUAAGGGCUUCUUUUGCAAAGAAAAUCACUUCAACGCAAACAUUUUUUUUAAAUUUAUUGCUCUGCUCCUACGUUAUUAAUUAUACGCUACAACAAAAUCAAAACUACCCAAGAAUGUGACUCAUCAACUACCAUCGUAUCAUACUAUUAUAGUAAACUUAGUAUGGGGCCUUAGUGUUAAUCUCAAUCUCAAUUCAUAAUGAAUAUGCUAGUGAAGUUAAUUACCCACGCAUUACUGCGAGCUAAUACUAUAAAAAAAGAUAAAAUAUUAAUAAAAUAAUAAUUUUAAAAUUUUUGAGUUGCAAUGAAACAUCAAUAAUAAAUAGUAUGAGAAAAAAAAGUAUAAAGAUAUUUUAUUUUAUUUUAUUUUAUUAAAUUUUUUUUAUAAAAGUGACUUGUUCAGAUUAUAAUAGACUAUAUGAAUACAUUAAUUAGAAAAUGAGCAUAUGAGAUGACGAAACAUCAAGUGGAGAAAGAAGAUGGGAAGGCGAAACACCAAGGAAUGAAAAGGGGGGAGAAGGCAAGGGUGAAGGAGGAAUUGCCACGUGGCAAAGUUAUGAGAAAUAAUAUAUAUAAAAAAUAAAUAUAAAAUAUAGGUAUAGAUAGAUUAUAUAUUGUGACACGUCAUUUAAUAGGAAUUAUAUAUAUAUAU
rnacentral:lncRNA from 1 species